rnacentral:rRNA from 1 species
AUUGAACGCUGGCGGCAGGCCUAACACAUGCAAGUCGAACGAGUGGCGGACGGGUGAGUAAUGUCUGGGAAACUGCCCGAUGUAGGUGGAUAACUACUGGAAACGGUAGCUAAUACCGCAUACCAUCUGAUGUGCCCUGAUGGGUUAAGCUCGUAGGUGGGGUAACGGGUCACCUAGGCGACGAUCCCUAGCUGGUCUGAGAGGAUGACCAGCCCAACUGGAACUGAGACACGGUCCAGACUCCGACGGGAGGAAGCAGUGGGGAAUAUUGCACAAUGGGCGCAAGCCUGAUGCAGCCAUGCAGCGUGUAUGAAGAAGGCCUGCGGGUUGUAAAGUACUUUCAGCGAGGAGGCGUUACUCGCAGAAGAAGCACCGGCUAACUCCGUGCCAGCAGCCGCGGUAAUAC